UACGGAGGGGGCUAGCGUUGUUCGGAAUUACUGGGCGUAAAGCGCACGUAGGCGGACCGACAAGUCGGGGGGGAAAUCCCGGGGCUCAACCCCGGAACUGCCUCCGAAACUGUCGGUCUGGAGGUCGAGAGAGGCGAGUGGAAUUCCGAGUGUAGAGGUGAAAUUCGUAGAUAUUCGGAGGAACACCAGUGGCGAAGGCGGCUCGCUGGCUCGAUACUGACGCUGAGGUGCGAAAGCGUGGGGAGCAAACAGG
rnacentral:rRNA from 1 species